UUCCUUACCUCAUUUCUUCAUUCAAAAAAAGUAAUGAUAAUGUUAUUUUAAGUUGUAAAGAUAAGCUAAGUCAUAACCAAUACUUUUUAAUACUUAAAUUAUUAAAUAUAUAAAAUUUACUCACUCAUAAAUGAAUAGUGUGGUUGAAGAUGGUGUAUAGAUAUUAUAAAACCAAAUAUUUUGUUUUCAAAAUUAAACUUUAAUAGAAUCGUAAGAUUUUCUACCACAAUUUUUGCCAUUCUUUUGUCUUACUUUUCAUAUUUAAACAUGAUAUUCACCUCCAAAUGUGCAAGACUAGGAGAACCUUAUGAUUAGUAUUAUAUUUUUUUAUCCUAGUUUCAAAGAUAAUAAUAGAAAGAUUACUCAGAAAGAUAAGACCUAAAAAGACCUAUUAUUUUAGAUUAGAUUAAUUAUAUUAAAUAUACUAGUGACAACAAAAUGUUAAACAUAUGGAAAAGAAAUUUUAUAUCAUGGGAACAUCUUCAAAGGAGUAUAUAAUAUGCAUAAAAAUAUGAAAUAGUUAUAACCUCUUCAGUGUCCCCUUGGUAAGAGAGUGCCAUGUAUUUAGGAAAGUUACCUCCUUUAUUUGAAAGAAAUCCAAUAAAAUUCUUUGGUUCUAAUAGAUAUAUUCUUAUAAUAAAUGAGUAUUUCUAUUAAGGUAUACUAAUACAUAUUUCUUUGUAAUAAGUGAGUAUUUCUAUGUAUUAAGUCGGUUCAUUACUUCAGUGCAUUAAAUGCAAGAGAGUUUAGGUGUUUAAGGGAAACACACAAAUACAUUUUAAAUAUAUACACUUCGGGAAAGGGUUGAUAACAAGUAAUAGCAGAAAGUAGUUUGGGAAUAAACAUGGUACUCAAUCAUGCAUAAUAUCGUGUACAGUUAUGCUAUGCUCAUUCUACUUUCUGAUUACCAUUCUGAUUAACACUUUCCGUAACUACUUUCUGUAUAUAAGACCACGCUGGGACUAAUGCUGGAAUCCAUGAAGACAGCCUAAAAAAAAAAGCAAUGGAGGAGAAAAGAAGAAAAACAAAGAGGGAAAGAAAGAGAGAGAAAGAAAGAGAAAGAAAGAGGGAAAGAGAUAAAGAAAAAGGAAGGAAGGGAGGAAGGAAGAAAGGAAGAAAGAAAGGAAGAAAGGAAGGAAGAAAGAAAGAAAGAGAAAGAAAAGAAAGGAAGAAAGGAAGGAAGGAAGGAAGAAAUGCUCGUGUAUUAUUUUUUACAUUAAUAAAUGUAGGUUGGUGACUACUUUAUUUAAUUUUUUUCAAUAAUUUUAAUUUAAAAUAUAAAAUUUUAUUCAUUUUCACAAGCAAUUAAAGGAGCAUCAUUUUACUCUUUACUGUUAUAAAAAUCAUAAGAGAAGAUUAUUUUCACAGAGUAUCUGAACAUUAUUAUUUCUUGUUUGAUGAAAGAUAAUACAUUAACUGAUAAAUCAGGAAGUGUCUUAUAUAAAUAUAACCCAGUUUAAGCACAGAAUUCUUAGCCAUUUUGAUUUGAUAUAAUAGGUACAAAUAAUUUAAAUAGAAAAGAUAUCAAUAGUUUAGUGUAAUUAAUAGAAAUCAUCUUUGAAAAAAAUUUGAAGGGCUAUUGUCAUUUGCAAAACUAUGAGAGAUGGAGUGCCAAGGAAAAUAAGCAACGGUAUUCAGGUUAUGAUAUUACAAAUACGAAUUUUCAAGAAGAUAUUAGAUUUGAAACCAAACGUGCCUGAGGAAGAAAUUAGUUUUUAAAUAAUUUUACCUUCCAUUUUAACCAUCAAAGACUUAAACUCUAAACUAGAUAGUGGUAGGAAGCCCUGGGCUGAUAGGAGGAAAUAAACAGACACUCAGAAUCCUGGGCACUAUAGAACAAAUAUCAGGAAAGGAAUCUGGCAUAUAUAUGUCCUGAUUCCUUCUCUCUGGAUUUGGCCUUCAGUAGUGGAUGUGGUCAGUUUAUUGGUAAGGAAGCUGAGGAUGAGGAGCUCCUGUCCACUUCUCCAUUUGGGACACUUGGAAAAGUCCACUGUACAAAGAAGCCUAUGCCUCCAUGAGGUGGAGGGUUAUGGUUGUGGUUAUGGUUAAGGGGCCAUAAGUAAAUAGAGUCUGGAAUGAUCUCCCAAGGUUUUCGCUUCCUAAGUGGCAAGAGCCUGCUAUGAUAGAGUGGAGUGACUCGACCAAGGAUCCAAUCAGAAGAGUGGCAAAGAGUCUGCAAAGCAGCAAGGGCUGAGUAAGCAGGGAGCUGUUGAUUCAGUAAGGAAAAAUUGCAUUUUGUGUUCAUCAGCCCCAGAUGUCCGCAGCAAAUGCCAGCAGAAAAUCCUGAGAAAGGACCAGGCCAACCAAAUACUGCAGCAGACAAGGAACACCCACUCUGCAAUGGUCUGAAAACCGGUAAGCAUCUGAUGGAUCCAAAGACUCUUCCCUUUUCCCUUGUAUGUUCAUAAAAGUCCUCAAUUGGCUCUAUCCCCAAAGUCAGCCUAACACCAUUUUUGUGACUAUCAAGUGCGUGGGAAGAAUGAAAAUAAAAGUCAAACAGUCAUUUUCCAAAGAGUAAGUAUUUUCUUAAAGGACUGUUAAAAUUAUUGGAUUGGGUAGUUUUAAACCAAUUUGGAGUAAAUGUAGCUUUUUAUUUCCACUAAUCAUAAGAGAAGCCAGAACUAUUGUAGACAAAAUAAAACAAAGAAAUUGAUUUUUCUUGUUUCUCUGCUCAUGUGAGCAACAGUGGCAUCUCUGUGACACCAAUACAAGUGAGCAUAACAAGCAUUGAUGUUGCAAAGGUUAAAGAUUUAUGAAUUAGAAAACGGAACUACGAGGUAAUAAUUUUCAAUUUCUUUGCAUUUUACAUACAUAAAUUUUUUUUAACAACACAGUUAUUAUUUUACAGCUGAGGCUAAUAAAGUUUAAGUGACGUACUUAGUCUUGAGCUUUAAAAUACUAACCUUGGCAUUCUUCGUAUAAAUUCUUCUGCUAGAUUAUGUGGUACCAAUCAAUAACUUCAUUUAUAUUCAUAUUUGAAUUAUAAUAACAUUAUUUAGGUAUGUGUACAUGUAUAAUUUAAGAUACAGGUUUAGUUAUGUUAUAUUUUUCUAUAAUAAAGUUUAUGGUUAAAAUCAAGAAUCUCUGCCUAUUAUUUGGUUCAGAAUAAGUAGUUGAGUACAGACAUGAGAAAUUGAUAUUGUAAUCAUUGGAAAAAGAGGAAUGUAAUUAUUUUAAUUCAAAAGGACUAUAAAGCUAACUUUUAUAAAAUUAUAUAAAAACAAAAAAAUGUACUUAUAUCUUUCCAAAAUUUGGAACAUAAUCAUAUGGGAAGAAGGAUGAACUGAAUUUAUCUGGAAGGUCUUCAAUUCCCUGCAAUAUUAGGAAGAUAACUCAUAAGCACACCAAAACUGUAAUAGUGCAAAUUUAAUACCCAGACUGCGUGGUGAAAAUAAAAACAAUCCCUAUUGAUUUCUUUAAAAUUUUAUUGGAGUAUAGUUUAUUUACAACAUUGUGUUAAUUUCUAGUGUACAGAAAAAUGAUUUAGUUGUACAUAUACAUGUAUCUAUACUUUUUCAAAUACUUUUCCCAUAUAGGUUAUUACAGAAUAUUGAUUAGAGUUCCCUAUGCUCUACAGUAGUUCCUUGUUGAUUAUCUCCUCUCUAUAUAGUAGUGAGUAUAUGUUAAUCUCAAACUCCUAAUAUAUCCCUUCCACCCACAUUCAUGUCCUCUUUUGUAACCAUAAAUUUGUUUUUGAAAUCUGUAAAUCUGUUUUUCUUUUGUAAAUAAGUUUAUUUGUAUCAUUUGAAAAUUAGAUUUCACAUGUAAGUGAUAUCACAUGAUAUUUCCCUUUGUCUAACUUACUUCACUUAGUUUGAUAAUCUCUAGGUCCACCCAUGUUGCUGAAAACGGUAUUUUUUGUUCUUUAUUAUGGCUGAGUAACAUUCCAUUGUACCACAUGUACCACUUCUUCUUUAUCCAUUUUCCUGUCAAUUGCCAUUGAGGUUGCUUCCAUGUCUUGGCUAUUGUAACUCAUAAAAUGACUCUUGAAAUAUUAUUCAUUCAUUUAAUCCUAUCUUACCACUAAAAGACUUCCUAAGUGGACAUGACAGCACAUCCCAAAGUUUCUACUAUUGUGAGGGAGCUCCUAUUUUGUAGUAUAAUUACUUUGCUAUAUUAUUGAUUAUCUCACAACUUAACACAUGUCUGUGAUAAAUAUGCCUUUAAGAUAGUAGGCAUUCAAUAAAAGUAUUUUAUAACAAUAAUGGUAACAAGUAUAACUGGCAUACAUAGGUUUAGAGCAAGUACUAAUUAUUCUUAAGUAUUUAAAUUCAUGGAAGUAGAAUAUCUAGGCAGAUUUUAAACUGGCCACAGCAUUCAAAGUGAUCUGGGUGUUUGUCAGUGCGUCUCUGAAAAAAGUGAAUAAUAUCUGUUAAAAGAGUGUAGAUUUUAUAUUUCACCUGUAUAUUUUAUACUAGUUUUAAUUGAAUUCAGUGUUUAAUAUAAUUAAGUCCCAUUUGUUUAUUUUUGGUUUUUAUUAUCUUCAUUACUCAAGAAAGAUUUUUUCAGAGUUCCCAUUGUGGCUCAGUGGGUUAAGAACCAACUAGUAUCCAUGAGGAUGCAGAUUCAAUCCCUCGCCUCACCUCCUGGGUGAAGGAUCCAGUGUUGCUGAAAGCUGUGUCAUGGGUCACAGAUGAGGCUCAGGUCUGGGUUGCUGUGGCUGUGGUAUAGGCUGGCAGCAGCUCCAUUUCAACCCCUAGCCUGGGAACUUCCAUAUGCCAUGG
rnacentral:lncRNA from 1 species